rnacentral:lncRNA from 1 species
GAAGUUCAACUUGAGCAGCAACUGCAAACUCAGAAUCUCCAAUAUGAUCCCUUAGAUGUUGCCAACAAUUUUGAUAUAUUUUUCGGAUAAUUCCGAGUAUAAAUUUGAGUGUUAUACUUUUAUUUCAUGGUCCAUCAAUUAACGAGGAAAUAUCUGUUCACUUUGGAAUCAGACAGCAGGUGUUUACAAGCAUUAUUAUUCAUUUAAUAUUUUCAUAGGCUUUUUCCAUCCUAUUCAAAUAGAAUUUAUUAUAUGCAAUUCAUUCAAUUUUUCAGAGAUUCAAAUUCGAGCUUCUACAGUUCUAUCAGUGGCCUAGAGUGCCGGAAACUCAUCAAAUUUGUUGCCCUAUGGAAAUCCUAAAAGGUACGCAGAUAUUUACAAAUUAUUAAGCAUUUGAUUGUUGUUUUGAUUGUUGUUUCGUUGUGUAAAAUAUUAAGACGUUUUCUAUAUCAUCUUAAAUUUUUAUAGUUUCACAUGGUAUUAGAGUAGGAGGUCAUGAGUUCAAAUCUUUCUAAACUCCUUGCCAAAUUUAAUUCGUUCCCAAUUAAUUCUAGGGAAGUGUUUGAAAAGGCUUGCCUAUGUAACAAGAUUAGCUCCAAUUUCAAAUUGGUAUGUUAU